UUCCUGGUUGAUCCUGCCGGAGGCGACCGCUUUUGGAGUUCGAUUAAGCCAUGCGAGUAGAAAGAAAUUAGAUUCUUUGCGAACUGCUCAGUAACACGUGGAUAACCUGCCCUAUGCUCUGGAAUAACCUCGGGAAACUGAGAAUAAGGCCGGAUAGUUCACAAUGCCUGGAACGGUUUGUGAAUCAAGGUAGGAUGGGUCUGCGGCGUAUCAGGUUGUAGGGGGUGUAAAGGACCCCCUAGCCUUCGACGCGUACGGGUGUUGGGAGACAUAGCCCGGAGAUGGAUUCUGAGACACGAAUCCAGACCCUACGGGGUGCAGCAGGCGCGAAAACUUCACACUGCAGGAAACUGUGAUGAGGGAACUCCUAGUGCAUGCACUAUGUGUAUGUAGAUCCUACUCUUAACAAGUAGAGGGAAAGGGCUGGGAAAGACCGGUGCCAGCCGCCGCGGUAAUACCGGCAGCUCAAGUGGUCGUCGCUUUUAUUGGGCCUAAAACGUCCGUAGCCUGUUUGGUAAAUCUGUGGGUAAAUCAACUCGCUCAACGAGUUGAAUUCUGCAGAGACUGCCAGACUAGGGACCGGGAGAGGUGUGGGGUACUCGAGGGGUAGGGGUAAAAUCCUGUCAUCCUUUGAGGACCACCAGUUGCGAAGGCGCCACACUGGAACGGAUCCGACGGUCAGGGACGAAGCCUAGGGGCACGAACCGGAUUAGAUACCCGGGUAGUCCUAGGUGUAAACGCUGUGAACUUGGUGUCGGGGGUCCGCAAGGGGUCCCCGGUGCCGGAGUGAAGAUGUUAAGUUCACUGCCUGGGGAGUACGGUCGCAAGGCUGAAACUUAAAGGAAUUGGCGGGGGAGCACUGCAACGGGAGGAGCGUGCGGUUUAAUUGGAUUCAACGCCGGA
rnacentral:rRNA from 1 species